CAUGCAGUCGAGCGGACAGAAGGGAGCUUGCUCCCGGACGUUAGCGGCGGACGGGUGAGUAACACGUGGGCAACCUGCCCCUUAGACUGGGAUAACUCCGGGAAACCGGAGCUAAUACCGGAUAAUCCCUUUCUCCACCUGGAGAGAGGGUGAAAGAUGGCUUCGGCUAUCACUAGGGGAUGGGCCCGCGGCGCAUUAGCUAGUUGGUAAGGUAACGGCUUACCAAGGCGACGAUGCGUAGCCGACCUGAGAGGGUGAUCGGCCACACUGGGACUGAGACACGGCCCAGACUCCUACGGGAGGCAGCAGUAGGGAAUCUUCCGCAAUGGACGAAAGUCUGACGGAGCAACGCCGCGUGAGUGAGGAAGGCCUUCGGGUCGUAAAGCUCUGUUGUGAGGGAAGAAGCGGUACCGUUCGAAUAGGGCGGUACCUUGACGGUACCUCACCAGAAAGCCACGGCUAACUACGUGCCAGCAGCCGCGGUAAUACGUAGGUGGCAAGCGUUGUCCGGAAUUAUUGGGCGUAAAGCGCGCGCAGGCGGCUUCUUAAGUCUGAUGUGAAAUCUCGGGGCUCAACCCCGAGCGGCCAUUGGAAACUGGGGAGCUUGAGUGCAGAAGAGGAGAGUGGAAUUCCACGUGUAGCGGUGAAAUGCGUAGAGAUGUGGAGGAACACCAGUGGCGAAGGCGACUCUCUGGUCUGUAACUGACGCUGAGGCGCGAAAGCGUGGGGAGCAAACAGGAUUAGAUACCCUGGUAGUCCACGCCGUAAACGAUGAGUGCUAGGUGUUAGGGGUUUCGAUGCCCGUAGUGCCGAAGUAACACAUAAGCAC
rnacentral:rRNA from 2 species